rnacentral:rRNA from 1 species
GAUGAACGCUGGCGGCGUGCCUAAUGCAUGCAAGUCGAGCGAACAGACGAGGAGCUUGCUCCUCUGACGUUAGCGGCGGACGGGUGAGUAACACGUGGAUAACCUACCUAUAAGACUGGGAUAACUUCGGGAAACCGGAGCUAAUACCGGAUAAUAUAUUGAACCGCAUGGUUCAAUAGUGACAGACGGUUUUGCUGUCACUUAUAGAUGGAUCCGCGCCGCAUUAGCUAGUUGGUAAGGUAACGGCUUACCAAGGCAACGAUGCGUAGCCGACCUGAGAGGGUGAUCGGCCACACUGGAACUGAGACACGGUCCAGACUCCUACGGGAGGCAGCAGUAGGGAAUCUUCCGCAAUGGGCGAAAGCCUGACGGAGCAACGCCGCGUGAGUGAUGAAGGUCUUCGGAUCGUAAAACUCUGUUAUUAGGGAAGAACAAAUGUGUAAGUAACUAUGCACGUCUUGACGGUACCUAAUCAGAAAGCCACGGCUAACUACGUG